AAAGGAGACAGGCAAAGCUAAAGAGGGAGAUCCGGCAGUUUUCACUUGGGCAUCCAAAAUUCGAAGUAAACAUCCAAGAAAGGUCACCGCAGCCCGAAAUCUACCACCUAAGCAGCUUCAGAAGCGCGGGAGCCAGGGAGCCCGGCCACGCGAAGGACCCUGGGGAUGUAGUCCCCAGGUCGACCCUUUCCGCAAAUCCGCAGAACUAGGCAACACUCAGGAACUACAACUCCCAGAAGGGAGCGCGGCUCCGCGACGCCCACAGUCCCGCAUCGAAAGAACUGGUACAGAACUGCACACCUAAACCCAGGCUUCUUCUCUCCACCAGCACAAAAGUAACAUCUAAGGAGCGAGGUCAUCAUGAACAUUUUCUAAGACCACUGACGCCAGACACCUUGACACCAGGACCACUGGCUCCAAGGCAUAAACGACUCAUGAAGGACACCUGAGCACUUGCCCUUGUUUUGACCAGUUCCUGGAUGCCUGACAGAACAUGUACACCAGACCAACAUCCUCAGUAAAAACUCCAGACCCCAAGCAAAGACGAGACUCAUUCUCCUUUUCCUUUCUGAGUCUCCUAGAUGCUUGGUCUGUAUCUGCCCUCUCUAGAUCUUCAAUAAAUGCUACUUUCACUUCCUCCCA